UAGCAAUGACUCCGCAAUCCUCUCGAUCCACGCCUGGCUUCACAUAAAAUUGCGGAAGUUGAAACAAAACCGGCCUGAAUUCCCACUGUGAAAGACACUGAUCUCAUAUCCUGCAGAUUUGUUGUAGAUGUUUAGGCCCCCAACUCUAGCUGCAGAUGGCUGUAAGGAAUCUCAACAUCUGUCGGCAGCAAUGCACGCUCCCCU